rnacentral:rRNA from 1 species
UUAGAGAAUACCAAGGCGAUCGAGUGAAUCGUGGUUAAGGAAUUCGGCAAAAUACCCCCGUAACUUCGGGAGAAGGGGGGCCCAGAGGGUGACGGGACUUGCUCCCCGAGCCUGAACGGACGCAGAGACCAGGGAGAAGCGACUGUUUACUAAAAACACAGGUCCGUGCCAAGUCGCAAGACGAUGUAUACGGACUGACGCCUGCCCGGUGCUGGAACGUUAAGGGGACCGGUUAGCCUCACGGCGAAGCUGAGAACUUAAGCGCCAGUAAGCGGCGGUGGUAACUAUAACCAUCCUAAGGUAGCGAAAUUCCUUGUCGGGUAAGUUCCGACCUGCACGAAUGGCGUAACGACUUCUCCACUGUCUCAACCACGAACUCGGCGAAAUUGCACUACGAGUAAAGAUGCUCGUUACGCGCAGAAGGACGGAAAGACCCCGGGACCUUUACUACAGCUUGGUAUUGGUGUUCGGUACGGCUUGUGUAGGAUAGGUGGGAGACUGUGAAGCUGACACGCCAGUGUCGGUGGAGUCAACGUUGAAAUACCACUCUGGUCGUUCUGGAUAUCUAACCUAGGUCCGUAAUCCGGAUCAGGGACAGUGCCUGGUGGGUAGUUUAACUGGGGCGGUUGCCUCCUAAAAGGUAACGGAGGCGCCCAAAGGUUCCCUCAGCCUGGUUGGCAAUCAGGUUUCGAGUGUAAGUGCACAAGGGAGCUUGACUGUGAGACUGACAAGUCGAACAGGGACGAAAGUCGGGACUAGUGAUCCGGCGGUGGCUUGUGGAAGCGCCGUCGCUCAACGGAUAAAAGGUACCCCGGGGAUAACAGGCUGAUCUUGCCCAAGAGUCCAUAUCGACGGCAUGGUUUGGCACCUCGAUGUCGGCUCGUCGCAUCCUGGGGCUGGAGUAGGUCCCAAGGGUUGGGCUGUUCGCCCAUCAAAGCGGUACGCGAGCUGGGUUUAGAACGUCGUGAGACAGUUCGGUCCCUAUCCUCUGCGCGCGCAGGAAACUUGAGAAGGGCUGUCCCUAGUACGAGAGGACCGGGAUGGACGAACCUCUGGUGUGUCAGUUGUUCUGCCAAGAGCACCGCUGAUUAGCUACGUUCGGGAGUGAUAACCGCUGAAAGCAUCUAAGCGGGAAGCAUGCUUCAAGAUGAGGUUUCCAUGGGGUUUACCCCGAGAGGCUCCCAGCUAGACUACUGGGUUGAUAGGCCGGAUGUGGAAGUGCGGUAACGCAUGGAGCUGACCGGUACUAAUAAGCCGAUAACUUGACU